rnacentral:lncRNA from 1 species
UAUUUUGGUCAACGGGGAAGAGGAUCAAGAUUUCAAGAUAUCAAAGAGGAUGAGUCUGAGGAUGAUGACAUUGAUGAUUACUACUGAUUUCAAGUAGCAGAAAAGGAAGGAAGAGGAGACUUAGAUAAAAGAGACUUGGUUUUGAUGCAUGGAAUGAACAAAUGCUCUAUAAUGUUUUCAUGUAUGGAUAUUUGGGAGAUAUUCCCUGUUUGACAGAUUUUAUUGGCCAUGAAUUUAUUGAAUUCAUUUUAUAUACGGUGGGAUUUGAGUUAAUUUGAUGUGUUCAUU